rnacentral:rRNA from 1 species
GACGAACGCUGGCGGCGUGCCUAAUACAUGCAAGUAGAACGCUGAAGGAGGAGCUUGCUUCUCUGGAUGAGUUGCGAACGGGUGAGUAACGCGUAGGUAACCUGCCUGGUAGCGGGGGAUAACUAUUGGAAACGAUAGCUAAUACCGCAUAAUAUUGACUAUUGCAUGAUAGUCAGUUGAAAGGUGCAACUGCACCACCACCAGAUGGACCUGCGUUGUAUUAGCUAGUUGGUGGGGUAACGGCUCACCAAGGCGACGAUACAUAGCCGACCUGAGAGGGUGAUCGGCCACACUGGGACUGAGACACGGCCCAGACUCCUACGGGAGGCAGCAGUAGGGAAUCUUCGGCAAUAGACGGAAGUCUGACCGAGCAACGCCGCGUGAGUGAAGAAGGUUGUCGGAUCGUAAAGCUCUGUUGUAAGAGAAGAACGAGUGUGAGAGUGGAAAGCUCACACUGUGACGGUAUCUUACCAGAAAGGGACGGCUAACUACGUG